rnacentral:lncRNA from 1 species
GAUCGGCUUCAUUACCUUGGUCUUGAUUCUGAUUUCCAAGGUUCAUCUUGACUUGUCUUUGAGCUGUUCGUUCAUGUCUUCCUUGUCUGAAAGCUCACUCAAUUUCAGGGUCUAUAGGGAGUAAAUCGAUAAUUCGAUCUAUGCUCAUAAACACCUGAAAAGAAAAUCACAAAAUUAAAAAGAAUAAGUUAGUAAUGUUAGACAUAAACCAAAUUAGAAGUAAAUAAUUUCACAAAAAAAAAGAUGAUUAUGGAAACAGUUAACAAUCCCCG